rnacentral:tRNA from 1 species
UCUCUGGUGGCUCAGACGGUAAAGCGUCUGCCUGCAAUGCGGGAGACCCAGGUUCAAUUCCUGGGUCGGGAA